CAUGAGAAUAUCAGCCACCCAUGGGCUUGGAUAGAGGCAGGGAAAAGUGGUCAUGGUUCCUCCUCAGCUGGGCUCCUCCACGCUUCAUUGUACAGGCUCCGAUUAAGUAACUGUCCUGCUGCUUGCUUUACAAAUGGAUCUCACCAUCUGCGGACCAGCCCUGGAUCAUGGUUAGAGACGGGAAACCGUAGAUUCCGGCUUCAUGAAGUCUGCAGGUUGCGGAUGUGGAGGGAGAGGAUACAGAUGCCCGAAGAUCUUCUAGAAAUGCAGCCAUGGUCUUGAUUUAGGACCUUGGCUUCUAAACAAGCAGCACUACAUUUAUAUACCUGUCGAGAGAAAGAAAUAAAGGCAGAAUUGCAGUUACC
rnacentral:lncRNA from 12 species